rnacentral:tRNA from 1 species
GCGGAUGUGGUGAAAGUAGGGUUAACACACCAGCUUGUGGCGCUGGCACUCGCCGGGUUCGAUGCCCGUCAUCCGCC